rnacentral:tRNA from 1 species
AUUAGGGUGGCAGAGACCGGUUAUUGCAU